CUUCUGAAGUAAUUGCAAAGGAAUAGAAUCGACUAUUUUUAUAGUAUAUUUAAUAUAUUUGUAUAUAACUAUAAUAGGAACCCUCUACAUGCCUCCCACUUUUCUAAUUUACUUCCCCUUUUGCCAUAGCACUAGUAUAGCCUCAUCCGCAUGGGUAAUGUGCCUAUUGUCAGCCUACCAAAAGAUAGUGCUGCUGCUUUAUGAGACAGGUGAGAAGACCCAACUCUCAUGCCUGGGGAUCCUUUACGGAAGGAAUAGCACACACUUUUAAAACAACAUACCACAGUCUAAAAGCAUCAUUUUGAAAUGUAACAAGCACUUUAUUGCAAUUACUCAUUUUGAUAAAGUUUAUUCUUAGGCGUUAACCAUUUCUAAAGGAUCCCCAAAUCAUCACUUACUUAGGUGAAAUUAUAUAAAAUGACACAUUUCUGAGAAAUGUUUAGGUCCAGUGAACCGUAGUUGGUUUAUGGGAGUGAUUUCAAGAUAGCCAAAUGAACUUUGAUUUUUGUUUUGAAUGUGGUGGAGUCAAGAGAUUGUAGAUGCCUAGUUUGAUUUAAACACUAUUGUAAACCUAUCUUGCCUAUUGUGUGGACACCAAAAGAGACCAAUGAGCCUGUUUAUUUUUCAGAGGUCUAGGAAAAUUGCAUCCGUGUGAGUAGAUGUACAGAACUAAUCUAAAAGUGAUUGCUAGUAACAUUUUAGAAUAUAAUAAUUUCAAGAAUUAUUCUGAGUGUUUUAAAUGUGCCCUGAAAUGUUGGCAUGUCAUUUCAGCAUUUCCAUUUGAAUUGCUCUUGUAAUAUUUUUGCACAAAAAGGACUGAGAAAAAGAAUACUUUGGUUAAAGGAAAAAAAUAGUAUAAUUUGGUCUUUAAUUUUAAUGUCUCCUGUGGAAACACUGGGGAUGAAUUUUGUUGGCACAGUUAUUCAGGAUAUUUAAAACAGUGUUGAACAGUUCACAAGAAAUUAAGCAAACUUGGAUUUUAAAAAUUAAAAUACUUUCUUUCCAUGUGACUGUUUUGCAUAGUUUUUUCCCCCUAUGUCAUAACACUACAUUCCUUGUUUUUCUUAAAUAAAAUACUCUGCAGGUUUUGUUGUGAGUGUUUAUAACAGUAUUUUGUAAGCUGCCUGGGUUUCCUCAGGGAAACAUUAUUUAGUGGAAUAGGAUAUAGUUUAUGGAGAGACAACUAAGUGAAAUUCCAUCACCACCACCAGCAAACACUGAGGUGCUGCAUUAAGUGACAAUCAAACUAGUAAGUAUUUAUGAAAGAAUUUAGAAAGGGGUUCAAAGAAGCAAUUGCUUUUAAAGCAGUUCUCUGGGGUUCUUGAAUAAAAAUGGCUAAAUGUAUUUAUUUAUAUUUUAAAAUACCUGUGUGUUCUGUUUUCUCAUCAAAGUGAUUUCGGUGUCAUGUAUUUAAUGUGUGGUUUGUUUUGUUUUGCACCAUAUUCUUCUUAGGGAACUGGCUCUGAUUUGGGGUGCAGUCACCAACUCUCAUGAUAAUCUUUACGGACAGUCUGAAUCUACUUUACUUCAGGACGGCAGUGGAGGGGCCAACUCCAGAUGCCCCUGCACUUCCCUCCUCAAGUCAUCUAAGAAAGAAUUUUAGAAAUAACUCCUUUCAAAUCUGAUUCAUACAGUUCCAACCUUUUUCUAGUUUCACUUGCUGCCUUCUUUGUUUUAUGGGCACUUUUUGUGUGAUUACUUCCCCAACACAGUCAAAGGCCAGUAUGACAGAACCAAUGGCACAUGAUGCCUCUAUUUUGCCCAUUUGGGGAAAUGUUAGUAAAAGAAAUAGCAUCUUUUAAUGGCUGUCAUUAUCAUAUCCAUAUUAAAAUCCAUUUAAAGUUCUUAAAUUUGGCGGAAUAAUGUAUACAGGCUGUAAACUUCUACAAAAAAUGUUUGCUGUCUUUAAUAUGGUGUCAAGUUACUUGGUCCUUUGAAAACAAAACAAAACUUCCAUACACAGCACUGCCCAGUAAAGCAGUGUUGGAAUAUUGGAAACCUAGACAUUUGAGGAUCCUUCUUGCUCACAAGCAUUGGAACAGAAUCCUCCACUUUAGGACUCAGAGAAGCUAUGGAGUCCCACAGGCUAGGUAUAGCACACAACUUAGAGAACGGUAGUUAAAGCACGUCAACCACAAUUGAAUUUAAUGAUCUAAAAAAUAUUUCUUAACUCUGAGGGUUAAACUGAAGAUACGUUUUCAAAUAAAAGCUUUUAAAUUUCUUAGGAAACAAACUGUGACAUCGCUUUUAAAAAUGACAUUCAAAUGUUUAUAAUGUGUGUUUUUGAGUUGGCUUGGACUAGUGCAAGUUCACUGCUGGCAAUGGUUAUGCCAGUAGUUAAGUUAAAAUAAGUUGUUACCUUCAGAUUGAUGUCUUGUAUAACCAGACAAUCAUCUUCAAGCAAAAAAAUUGGCCAGGAAAUGUCUUUUUAAAAAAAAAAAAAAAAAAAAAGAUGUGUCAGCCAGAACAGUUACCAUUCAGACCAUACUGGAAUGAUUUUGAAAUCUUUACUAUGGUUUAAGUUGGGGAAGGCCUCAGUAUGGCAUUUUCAUAUUCACUCUAUGUAAAGAUUGAAGCCCAAAGAUGAGUUAAAUUCAGUGCUGUAUUGAAACCAGUCAGUGCAAAAAAAAAAAAAAAGUUUUACCUUUGUAAAUUUUUCAUUGUUAACAUCAGUUGGUAGUUGUUAAAACAUGCACCAAAUUCUUUAUAAUGUUCUGUGUGGUUCUCAAUGUGAUAUUCUUGACAUUGCUGUCCUUACUGCUUGGUUCUUGGUUUUAAAUUAAAAAGUAGAUGUAGCUCAUCAUUUUUACUUCCAAAACGGUGGAGCUAAAAACGGCUAAUUGAUCUUGAGAUAAGAAUACCCUUUACUAAGGCAAAGAUUUAAUUGAAAUCCAAAAUGAUUUAUAGAAACGAAAGGCAUUUUCCAUUUGUUGUCUUCUGCCGAAAUUCUGAAUUGCAUACACACAUGAAGGAUAAUGAAUGGUUUCAACGGUGCUAUAUUAGGUUCUCUGAUUUUCAUGACCUAUGUAUGUUUGGAAAUACAAUAUUGUAUAAAAUGUGGAUCGUUUUGUUACCGAUUUAAUAUUGCCAUUUUAAUUUGGUGUAACAAUUGGUUACACUUGUUUUUCAAAGCUAUCCUUUGAGGAGAAAGUCAAAAUGUGUUGUUAGCCUACCUCCACUCAGGCCUCUUGCUGUGUAAUCAUUAUUCCAGGUUAUGAUGUGCAUAGCUUUUAAAACUGCGUGUACUAUUAUUCUGCUCUUUCCCAUACUCUUGUCAUGUAUUCAGAACCUAAACUUAUAGCAAAAGAGCCAAGCAGUAGCAGUUUUUGUAAAUGUAAAAAUAAUUAGAUCCAGACUUUGUUUCCUUCAAUUUUAAAAAUAAAAAAUACCUCAGUGCUAUGUUUUUCAGUUAUCACCUGCAUUUCUCAAAAAAUAACACCUGCUUCAUGUGGCACAUAACUUGUAAGAAUCACAUUUUGGAUUUUAAAGAAAGACUAUUAAAUAUUUUAAGAUCACUA
rnacentral:lncRNA from 1 species